CCUACGGGUGGCUGCAGUGGGGAAUAUUGGUCAAUGGGCGCUAGCCUGAACCAGCCACGUAGCGUGAAGGAUGAAUGCCCUAUGGGUUGUAAACUUCUUUUAUAUGGGAAUAAAGUGCAGUAUGUAUACUGCUUUGCAUGUACAUUAUGAAUAAGGAUCGGCUAACUCCGUGCCAGCAGCAGCGGUAAUACGGAGGGUCCGGGCGUUAUCCGGAUUUAUUGGGUUUAAAGGGAGCGUAGGCGGGUUGUUAAGUCAGUUGUGAAAGUUUGCGGCUCAACCGUAGAAUUGCAGUUGAUACUGGCUUCCGUGAGUACAGUAGAGGUAGGCGGAAUUCGUGGUGUAGCGGUGAAAUGCGUAGAUAUCACGAAGAACUCCGAUUGCGAAGGCAGCCUGCUGGACUGUAACUGACGCUGAUGCUCGAAAGUGUGGGUAGCAAACAGGAUUAGAUACCCCAGUAGUC
rnacentral:rRNA from 1 species